rnacentral:rRNA from 1 species
AACGAACGCUGGCGGCGUGGAUAAGACAUGCAAGUCGAACGCUAAUUCAAGGGUAGCAAUAUUCUUGAGUUGGAGUGGCGCAAGGGUGCGUAACGCGUGGGUAAUUUGCCGUGAAGCUCGGAAUAACUCGCUGAAAGGCGAGCUAAUACCGGAUGUGAUUUUUGGAAGGCAUCUUCUGAAUCUUAAAGCUGGGGACCGUAAGGCCUGGCACUUCACGAUAAGCCCGCGACCUAUCAGCUAGUUGGUGAGGUAAAGGCUCACCAAGGCUAAGACGGGUAGCUGGUCUGAGAGGACGACCAGCCACACUGGAACUGAGACACGGUCCAGACACCUACGGGUGGCAGCAGUCGAGAAUUUUUCUCAAUGGGGGAAACCCUGAAGGAGCGACGCCGCGUGGGGGAUGAAUGGCUUCGGCCCGUAAACCCCUGUCAUUUGCGAUCAAACCUCACAACCUAACACGUUGUGAGCUGAUAGUAGCGGAAGAGGAAGGGACGGCUAACUCUGUGCCAGCAGCCGCGGUAAUACAGAGGUCCCAAGCGUUGUUCGGAUUCACUGGGCGUAAAGGGUGCGUAGGCGGUCGGGUAAGUCUGAUGUGAAAGCUCGGAGCUCAACUCCGAAAUGGCAUCGGAUACUAUUCGGCUAGAGGAAUGGGAGGGGAGACUGGAAUACUUGGUGUANCANNGAAANGCGUANAUAUCAAGUGGAACACCAAAUACUUGGUGUAGCAGUGAAAUGGGUAGAUUUCAAAGNGNACCNCCAGNGGCAAAGGGGAGUCUNUGGACAUUUCCUGACGGUUGAGGCACGAAAGCCAGGGAAGCAAACGGGAUUAGAUACCCCGGGUAGUCCUGGCCNUAAACGGUGCACGUUUUGCUGUAAGAGGAAUCGACCCCUUUUGUGGCGAAGCUAACGCGUUAAACGUGCCGCCUGGGAAGUACGGCCGCAAGGUUAAAACUCAAAGAAAUUGACGGGGGCCUGCACAAGCGGUGGAGUAUGUGGCUUAAUUCGAUGCAACGCGAAGAACCUUACCUGGCCUUGACAUGCAAGUAGUAGAAUCCUGAAAGGGAGACGAGGUAGCAAUACCAGCUUGCACAGGUGCUGCAUGGCUGUCGUCAGCUCGUGUCGUGAGAUGUUGGGUUAAGUCCCGCAACGAGCGCAACCCCUGUGUCCUGUUGCCACCCCUUAAAUGGGAGCACUCUGGACAGACUGCCUCGCUUCAACGAGGAGGAAGGUGGGGAUGACGUCAAGUCAGUAUGGCCCUUACGGCCAGGGCUGCACACGUACUACAAUGCCCGGCACAAAGGGAAGCAAGACCGUUAGGUGGAGCAAAUCCCAGAAAACCGGGCCCAGUUCAGAUUGUCGUCUGCAACUCGACGGCAUGAAGCUGGAAUCGCUAGUAAUGGCGCAUCAGCUACGGCGCCGUGAAUACGUUCCCAGGCCUUGUACACACCGCCCGUCACAUCAUGAAAGCCGGUUGUACCCGAAGUCGCCCCUUAAAAGGUGUCGAAGGUAUGGCUGGUGAUUGGGAUGAAGUCGUAACAAGGUAACC